AGGUGAGGUAGCCAAGUGGUUAAGCUGAUGGACUGUUACUCCAUUGUGCUUUGCACACAUGGGUUCAAAUCCCAUCCUCCCUG